AUUGAACGCUGGCGGCAGGCCUAACACAUGCAAGUCGAGCGGAUGACAGGAGCUUGCUCCUGGAUUCAGCGGCGGACGGGUGAGUAAUGCCUAGGAAUCUGCCUGGUAGUGGGGGACAACGUUUCGAAAGGAACGCUAAUACCGCAUACGUCCUACGGGAGAAAGCAGGGGACCUUCGGGCCUUGCGCUAUCAGAUGAGCCUAGGUCGGAUUAGCUAGUUGGUGGGGUAAUGGCCCACCAAGGCGACGAUCCGUAACUGGUCUGAGAGGAUGAUCAGUAACACUGGAACUGAGACACGGUCCAGACUCCUACGGGAGGCAGCAGUGGGGAAUAUUGGACAAUGGGCGAAAGCCUGAUCCAGCCAUGCCGCGUGUGUGAAGAAGGUCUUCGGAUUGUAAAGCACUUUAAGUCGGGAGGAAGGACUGUAGGCUAAUACCUUGCAGUUUUGACGUUACCGACAGAAUAAGCACCGGCUAACUUCGUGCCAGCAGCCGCCGUAACAC
rnacentral:rRNA from 1 species